GUGUGUUUCUUAUUUAGCAUGUCACAUUUCUAUUUAGUUGCGGUGUGUCUGUCAAGAAUGUUCCAUGUUUAUGCUGUGUGCGCGCGCGCGCAUGUGUGUCUAUGAUUAGACCUCUAUUGGUAACCUCUAUACUGCUAUACUGCUGUUGUUGCUGAGCUCCUGUUUUCUCUCUCUCUCUCUCUUUCCCUGUGUCUCCUGCAGCAGUGGAGGUUGCAGGCCUGUAUCCUCUGAUAUUUCCUCCAUCAUUGAUAUGCAAGACACAUUGCCCAGGCGCUAGCGCAAGGUUAGCUCUCUAUGUGUAUGAGUACCUGCUGCACGUAGGGGCACGAAGUCAGCACAGACCUUCCUCUCAGAGGUAGUGUGUGUUGUGUGUGUGUGUGUGUGUGUGUUGUGUGGUGUGGUGGUGUGUGUGUGUCCACUCUCCUAGAGCAGGGCUGAUUCUGCCUCUCUGCUGUGUGUGUGUGUGUGUGUGUGUGUUUGUGGUGUGUGUGUGUAAUUGAAUUAGUGAGGAGUGCUGAGCUGGCAGGGCAGUAGGGGGUUCAGUAUUUAGCCUCCAUUACUGGGAUCAGCCCAGAGAGUUACGAUAGACCAUCUAGCUGGCAGGUUUCUCUCUCUCUCUCUCUCUCUCUCUCUCUGUGUCUCUGUGUGUAUGCACGUAAGGAGGUAUGAAAGUUGAAACCAGUCAUUUUCU
rnacentral:lncRNA from 1 species